GUUCUUGCUUCGGCAGCACAUUUACUAAAAUUGGAACGAUACAGAGAGAUUAGCAUGGCCCCUGUGCAAGGAUGACUUGCAAAUUCAUGUAGUGUUCAAAAAAAGG
ensembl:snRNA U6 U6 spliceosomal RNA